rnacentral:rRNA from 1 species
AGAGUUUGAUCAUGGCUCAGGACGAACGCUGGCGGCGCGCUUAACACAUGCAAGUCGUGCGGUGUCGAAGGCAAGUCUUACGACAAGCCUUCGACACAGCGGCGAGCGGGUGAGUAACACGUGAGUAGCUGUCCUAAGGAGGGGGAUAACGCCUGGAAACGGGUGCUAAUACCCCAUAUGCCUCGCAAGAGGUGAAAGUGUACUUGUUACAGCCUUAGGGUGUGCUCGCGGCCUAUCAGCUAGUUGGUGAGGUAACGGCUCACCAAGGCUAAGACGGGUAGCCGGCCUGAGAGGGUGUACGGCCACACUGGAAUUGAGAUACGGUCCAGACUCCUACGGGAGGCAGCAGUGGGGAAUCUUGGGCAAUGGGCGAAAGCCUGACCCAGCGACGCCGCGUUGGGGAUGAAGCCCUUCGGGGCGUAAACCCAUGUUGUAGGGGACGAAGAAAGUGACGGUACCCUACGAGAAAGCCCCGGCCAACUACGUGCCAGCAGCCGCGGUAAAACGUAGGGGGCGAGCGUUGUCCGGAAUUACUGGGCGUAAAGGGCACGCAGGCGGUACGCCAAGUCGGGGGUGUAAAGUUACGGCUCAACCGUGACCUUGCAAUCGAUACUGGCGUACUGGAGUGCGGGAGAGGGAAGUGGAAUUCCCGGUGUAGCGGUGAAAUGCGUAGAUAUCGGGAGGAACGCCAGUGGCGAAGGCGGCUUCCUGGCCCGCGACUGACGCUCAUGUGCGAAAGCCAGGGGAGCGAACCGGAUUAGAUACCCGGGUAGUCCUGGCCGUAAACGAUGGGUGCUAGG